GAUGAACGCUGGCGGCGUGCCUAAUACAUGCAAGUCGAGCGAACGGACGAGAAGCUUGCUUCUCUGAUGUUAGCGGCGGACGGGUGAGUAACACGUGGAUAACCUACCUAUAAGACUGGGAUAACUUCGGGAAACCGGAGCUAAUACCGGAUGAUAUUUUGAACCGCAUGGUUCAAAAGUGAAAGACGGUCUUGCUGUCACUUAUAGAUGGAUCCGCGCUGCAUUAGCUAGUUGGUAAGGUAACGGCUUACCAAGGCAACGAUGCAUAGCCGACCUGAGAGGGUGAUAGGCCACACUGGAACUGAGACACGGUCCAGACUCCUACGGGAGGCAGCAGUAGGGAAUCUUCCGCAAAGGGCGAAAGCCUGACGGAGCAACGCCGCGUGAGUGAUGAAGGUCUUCGGAUCGUAAAACUCUGUUAUUAGGGAAGAACAUAUGUGUAAGUAACUGUGCACAUCUUGACGGUACCUAAUCAGAAAGCCACGGCUAACUACGUG
rnacentral:rRNA from 1 species